rnacentral:rRNA from 1 species
GGAUUGUAGGCUGCAACUCGCCUACAUGAAGUCGGAAUCGCUAGUAAUCGCGGAUCAGCAUGCCGCGGUGAAUAGUUCCCGGGCCUUGUACACACCGCCCGUCACACCAUGAGAGUUGGAGAUACCCGAAGCCUAUGAGCUAACUUUUAGAGGCAGUAGUCGAAGGUAGAAUCAAUGAUUGGGGUGAAGUCGUAACAAGGUAUC